GUGACCUGCGGAGGAUCAUAUA
rnacentral:rRNA from 1 species